AUGAACGCUGGCGGCGUGCCUAAUACAUGCAAGUCGAGCGAACAGAUGAGGAGCUUGCUCCUCUGACGUUAGCGGCGGACGGGUGAGUAACACGUGGAUAACCUACCUAUAAGACUGGGAUAACUUCGGGAAACCGGAGCUAAUACCGGAUAAUAUAUUGAACCGCAUGGUUCCAUAGUGAAAGACGGUUUUGCUGUCACUUAUAGAUGGAUCCGCGCCGCAUUAGCUAGUUGGUAAGGUAACGGCUUACCAAGGCAACGAUGCGUAGCCGACCUGAGAGGGUGAUCGGCCACACUGGAACUGAGACACGGUCCAGACUCCUACGGGAGGCAGCAGUAGGGAAUCUUCCGCAAUGGGCGAAAGCUUGACGGAGCAACGCCGCGUGAGUGAUGAAGGUCUUCGGAUCGUAAAACUCUGUUAUUAGGGAAGAACAAAUGUGUAAGUAACUAUGCACGUCUUGACGGUACCUAAUCAGAAAGCCACGGCUAACUACGUG
rnacentral:rRNA from 1 species